GACAGAGGGUGCAAACGUUGCUCGGAAUUACUGGGCGUAAAGCGCGUGUAGGCGGGCUGAUAAGUCGGACGUGAAAUCCCUGGGCUCAACCCAGGAACUGCAUCCGAAACUGUCAGUCUGGAGUGGUGGAGAGGGAAGCAGAAUUCCUGGUGUAGAGGUGAAAUUCGUAGAUAUCUGGAGGAACACCGGUGGCGAAGGCGGCAUCCUGGACCGGCAUUGACGCUGAGGCGCGAAAGCCAGGGGAGCAAACGGG
rnacentral:rRNA from 1 species